GCAGUGGUGGUUCAGCGGUAGAAUUCUCACCUUUCAUGCGGGAUACUGGGGUUUGAUUCCCAGCCGAUGCA
rnacentral:tRNA from 1 species